CCAAAUUGCAUUUUUCCUUGUAAACCCUGUCCUCCACAUAUGUGCUGUGUGAAUCCAGCCGAUUUUUUUGUUGGCCACAAGCAGAGAGAAUUGGUUGGAUUCAUUCCCAUGACCACAAAGCCCUCAAGACACACUUGUCUUUGCCUGAUCCCCACAAAAUGCCUCAGGUGAAUAGGCAGGAGGAAACAGAUCUUAACACUUCUUUCAGACAUUAAAGAGCAGGGAUUCUUACCUUAGGUCCAUGAGCACUUGUUUUAGGGGUGAGAGUACUGCCUAGGGUUGUAUGCAAAAGUCUCCAUGUUUGUACAUUAUUUUCAGGGAGAGGAUUCAUAAAUUUACCAGCCCCUCAAAGAGACUGUGAUUAAAAGAGUUUAAGAGCCAGUGCUCCAGAGAGAGACAGAGAAAAAGAAAGAGACGCAAUCUCUGAUGAAAGAUGUCCAUGUCUGAGGGGGAGCCAAGGAAUGAGGGUGAUUCCCGUUGAGCUGGACUUGCAUCAUCUCACUUUCCCUGAAACCAUUCCCGCUAAGAUUGAGAUUCUAGAAACUAUACUAAAGGGUAAUGCUUCUUUUCUCUUCUUCCCUGUUCCUUCAGUAGUGAAGUCUUUUGCAUGUUGAUUGUAUUCAAUUAGCCCCUGCCUGUCUCUCACCGGCUUCUACUCCCCCAGAGAAUACCCAGCGAUACCCUGAGCAGGCCAGGUGUGGAUCUGGGCCGUGUCUGGCCUUCGUGGGAAGCAGGUGAGCCUCAGCCGGCCAGGUGUGGAUCUGGGCUGUGUCUGGCCUUCGUGGGAAGCAGGGAUUCCCAACUUAUACACACUUCAGACCCCAUGAAACUUGAACCCCACAUCAAUUGGGACAGGCAUCUGGGGAUAGAUGGGAGCAGAAAACUGAGGCUCACAGAGACUAUGAAACUUCCCCAAGAUCACACAGUUGGUAGGUAGCAGAACGGAGACUCAAACUGGCUUACACUUGGUUCAGAGCCCACACACUGAACUACUACUUGAUUCUGUUAUUUUUGUAGGAUCUCAAAGAUUCUUCCAGCUACAAAGUACUUUUCUUGUAUUUCUAAGUAGCAAUCCAAUUCAGGAUUAACAGGGUUUCAUUGCUAUCAUAGUAUAUUUGGACCAGUUUAUGACAGAUAAUUUCCAGUUAAUCCAAGUAUGAUCAAAAUGUGAGCUGAGACCUACUAUUCAAUUAUAAGUGACUCAGAACUAAUUUUCAGUAAAAUUAAGGAAUACCAGUCAAGAAAACACCAAUGGCCGUUAAAUGCCAUAACUCACUCUGCAGCUUAUUCUGACUACAUUUUAGGAAGA
rnacentral:lncRNA from 13 species